ACCGCCCGGCCUGGCGAUGCGGACGCGGGUCUGACUCCGGGAGAGAGGCGCAUCUGGGGACCCAGCCGCCCAUUUCCCCAGAGGGAAGGACGGGCUCUCGGGACUCAGUCACCUUCCCAUGAAACCCUGGAAACGGCUCAGUAGCUCUUCUGGUUGACUUGCUGCUGCGUUCAGCUGUCAGCUGCCUGUGAACCGGUGACACGAGCUCAUGCUACUGUUUGUUUUCCAAAAAGGGCUGUCCUGAAUUUUUGUUUAAAGAUCAAAUGAUAAUAGUUAUAAUAGGACCCUUCCGUGAGCAGCUUCUCUAUGCCCUGAUCGCAAGCGAGCACGGCGCCUGAUGUGCGCUCUGCGGCGAUGCUUCCUGCUCAGCGUUUUCUAUCCGCUCAUCCAGCAGCCGGGGGUCCUACCAGCGCCUUCCUUCAGACUUUGCUGCUACGUUAAACACAGCUUGAUUUUUUUUUUUCUUUUGGUUUGUUUGUUUUAAUGUUUUUUAUUGCGGUAAAAGUCACAUAAUAUAAAACAUACUGCUACCGCUUGUUUUUUAAUGGGAAGGAGAGAGGAAAUCCAUCCCUGCUCAAAUUUACUGGGCUUAUCCGGCAGUUUAGAGAAGGAAUAGGAAAUUGAAUAUCGGUUGAUUUUCCUCUGAAAUCGGUUGUAUCUUGUUGCUAUUUUACCAUUUAAGGUGAACAUGCACACACACACGUGUAUGCACAUGUAUUUUGUUUUUAAUUUCCCUCAGAUGUGUCGAUUUUUUUUCAUACCGUAUUCUACAAAAAGAUACCGGUUAAAAGGGAGAGAAAAGGAAAAAUCCUAGAAGAGAAAUUGAAGAUCAGUGGAUAUUUUAAGACACUCAGUUUGUGUAUUUGCAAAUGCCCUCCAGAAACAUGAUGCCAAUUUGUACAUUCACCAAAAAUUAUGAGCCAACACAGAUUUCCUUUAAGGACCUUUCCAAUAGACUUGGAGUCUGAUGGAAGCAACAAAGAAGCUGAUGAAUCAAAGAACUUGCAGCGGAAGACUUUAGCGUUUAAGACCCGUGAGACCUGAUGACAUUGCAUAGACAGACGCUUUGAUAGAGACUAAGGAUCCUUAGCGGGAAAGAUUCACAGCCAGGAGAAUUAGAGAGGGACUAUGCCUGGGGAUCCAGGACUGCAUCAGUCUGGACCUGAAAACCAAGUGUUUUUCUUUCUGAUCAGGUACCAGUGCUCCCCACAGCACAUGCCAGCCCUCCAGCAAGAGUUGUGAGUUAUGUGUUGAAUCAAGAAGGAUCAUCUCAUUAUAGAAUUAUUGCAUCACCAAGUAGGAAGGGAUCUUCAAAUUCACCUAAUGUAGCCUCCAAGCUGAUACAGGAAUUCUCUUUAUAGCAUCCCUAACAGGUGGACAUCAAGUCUAAACCUGUAUAUUCAACCAGACCUGGGCUAGCCAAAACCUGGCGAAAUUUUUUCUCUCCAUAGCCUCAAUUGGAGGAAAAUUUUCUGUUAUUUUAGAGUCAAAAUAUACCUUUGUAUAACCUUGAUUGACUACUUCAAUAAGUAAUCAAUCAGAAAACAGUAUGCUGCCUUUGACAUCACUGUCCAUUGACUGAAAGUCAACCAUAAAAUCAAAAGAGCACUAAAAUAAUUUUCUGGAGCCCCAGAUUUUCUCCUUAGCUCUGCUUCAAAUCAAAUAUGUUUUUGCUAUUGAUUUCUUUUUUUCUUUCCUGGCAAGUUUCUUUUCUUAAAGAGCUGCAUCUGUACAUUUCAAGAGGAAAAAGUUUUAGCACAUUAAAAUAUUUUAU